rnacentral:lncRNA from 1 species
GUUGUGUCACCCCGCUCUUCACCUCCUACUGCCUCUCUCUUCCCCCAUUUACAGUAAAUUUUUUAUUUGAUUUAAUUCAAAGAUGCAUAACAUCAUCAUAUUUAUUUCUCUUUCAUUUUAAAUGAGGUUUAAAAAAUAAGUUCCUAAAAUUUUCUAAUUUCUAACUCUUUAUUACCAAUUUCAUUAUUUUUAUUUCAAUUUAUUUAUUAUUUAAAUA